rnacentral:rRNA from 1 species
ACGGGUGAGUAACACGUGGGUAAUCUGCCUGGAAGCCUGGGAUAACAGUUGGAAACGGCUGCUAAUACCGGAUAAUGUUUUAGCUAUAGAGGCUAAAACCAAAGCGCUAUGUAGCGCUUCCAGAUGAGCCCGCGUCCCAUUAGCUAGUUGGUGGGGUAAUGGCCUACCAAGGCGACGAUGGGUAGCCGGUCUGAGAGGAUGGACGGCCACACUGGGACUGAGACACGGCCCAGACUCCUACGGGAGGCAGCAGUGGGGAAUUUUGCGCAAUGGGGGCAACCCUGACGCAGCGACGCCGCGUGAGUGACGAAGGCCUUCGGGUUGUAAAACUCUGUCUAGGGGGAAGAUAGUGACGGUACCCCUGGAGGAAGCCCCGGCUAACUACGUGCCAGCAGCCGCGGUAAGACGUAGGGGGCGAGCGCUGUCCGGAAUUACUGGGCGUAAAGGGCGUGUAGGCGGCCUGAAAAGUCAGCUGUGAAAUCCCUCGGCUCAACUGAGGGCUUGCAGUUGAAACUACCAGGCUUGAGUGCAGGAGAGGAAGGUGGAAUUCCCAGUGUAGCGGUGAAAUGCGUAGAUAUUGGGAGGAACACCGGUGGCGAAGGCGGCCUUCUGGCCUGUAACUGACGCUGAGGCGCGAAAGCUAGGGGAGCAAACAGGAUUAGAUACCCUGGUAGUCCUAGCUGUAAACGCUGGGUACUAGGUGUAGGGGGUUUAGACGCCCUCUGUGCCGUAGUUAACGCAUUAAGUACCCCGCCUGGGGAGUACGAUCGCAAGGUUGAAACUCAAAGGAAUUGACGGGGGCCCGCACAAGCGGUGGGGCAUGUGGUUUAACUCGACGCAACGCGAAGAACCUUACCAGGGCUUGACAUCUAUCUGAAGUAUAUUAGAGAUAGUAUAUUUCCUUCGGGACAGAUAGACAGGUGGUGCAUGGUUGUCGUCAGCUCGUGUCGUGAGAUGUUGGGUUAAGUCCCGCAACGAGCGCAACCCUUAUUCUUAGUUGCCAGCAUUUAAGGUGGGCACUCUAGGGAGACUGCCGGUGACAAACCGGAGGAAGGUGGGGAUGACGUCAAAUCAUCAUGCCCUUUAUGUCCUGGGCUACACACGUGCUACAAUGGCCGGUACAACGAGUUGCGAGACAGCGAUGUUUAGCCAAUCUCUUAAAGCCGGUCUCAGUUCGGAUUGCAGGCUGCAACUCGCCUGCAUGAAGUCGGAAUCGCUAGUAAUCGCGAAUCAGCACGUCGCGGUGAAUACGUUCCCGGGCCUUGUACACACCGCCCGUCACACCACGAAAGCCAGCAACACCCGAAGCC